AUGUGUCUACUAGCACAGCUCUCUCUGUCUCUCUAUUUUAACUGAGUUUCUUUAUGAGGUGUUUUUUUGUAGGUGGUCUUCUGCUACUGAAAAUAUUUGUUUGAACUAUUGGUUUGCCCAAACAUAUAUGUUUAAGUCAUUUUAAGUUGCUUUCAGUUUUCAGUUGCAACAUGUCUGAUUCCAUAAAAGGUUUAACUGAAUGUUCAGGUUUUCAAUCUCCCAGAUGGACCCCGGGACUAUAUGGAUGAAACAGUCUUUUUCUCCUGAUAUCUUGCAACAUUGCGGUCCUGUUUAUUUUUUCUUGUUGAUGGACAAACAAAUGGUUGAAUGGACCAGCGGUGAUUCUGUUUGAGGCUGGGAACCCUUCAUGAAGAAGAGAGCCUGGUGUGGCUUGCUUCUAAAUAAGAGCCACCCAGAUCUCAUUUUCUGAAUGUGCAAGUCUGAGAUCCAGAGCUGUGGAAAGACUCAGGCCAUGCCACACAGCCUUUGAAGACUAGAUGAAGAUCAGUUCUUUGACCCUUAGGUUAGAGUGCUUAUUCCCACAUUUUGGUAGUUCUUCGAUAUUGGCCAUCAGCCUGGGGCUGACCCAUGAAGAAGGAUGUCUUCGUCCUCAGCUAAAAGAAGAAAAGCCACAAAAAGGCUCAGGAGUCACUGAAUACCCUCAACUCAUUUAAGCAAUGAUGGUCCACUUUGUUGUCUGCAAAAAACCCACAAGUUUCUUAGUAAG